rnacentral:rRNA from 1 species
AUUGAACGCUGGCGGCAUGCCUUACACAUGCAAGUCGAACGGUAACAGGUCUUCGGAUGCUGACGAGUGGCGAACGGGUGAGUAAUACAUCGGAACGUGCCCGAUCGUGGGGGAUAACGAGGCGAAAGCUUUGCUAAUACCGCAUACGAUCUACGGAUGAAAGCGGGGGAUCUUCGGACCUCGCGCGGACGGAGCGGCCGAUGGCAGAUUAGGUAGUUGGUGGGAUAAAAGCUUACCAAGCCGACGAUCUGUAGCUGGUCUGAGAGGAUGAUCAGCCACACUGGGACUGAGACACGGCCCAGACUCCUAAGGGAGGCAGCAGUGGGGAAUUUUGGACAAUGGGCGAAAGCCUGAUCCAGCCAUGCCGCGUGCAGGAUGAAGGCCUUUGGGUUGUAAACUGCUUUUGUACGGAACGAAAAGCCUCUUUCUAAUAAAGAGGGGUCAUGACGGUACCGUAAGAAUAAGCACCGGCUAAAUACGUG